rnacentral:rRNA from 1 species
GAUGAACGCUGGCGGCGUGCUUAACACAUGCAAGUCGAACGAGAAAUGUAGACGGAAACCUUCGGGCGGAAGCCUUCAUUUCGAGUGGCGGACGGGUGAGUAACGCGUGGGUAACCUGCCUCAUACAGGGGGAUAACAGUUGGAAACGACUGUUAAUACCGCAUAAGACCACAGCAUCGCAUGAUGCGGGGGUAAAAACUCCGGUGGUAUGAGAUGGACCCGCGUUCGAUUAGCCAGUUGGCGGGGUAACGGCCCACCAAAGCGACGAUCGAUAGCCGAUCUGAGAGGAUGACCGGCCACAUUGGGACUGAGACACGGCCCAAACUCCUACGGGAGGCAGCAGUGGGGAAUAUUGCACAAUGGGGGAAGCCCUGAUGCAGCGACGCCGCGUGAGUGAAGAAGUACUUCGGUAUGUAAAGCUCUAUCAGCAGGGAAGAAAAUGACGGUACCUGAGUAAGAAGCCCCGGCUAACUACGUG